CUGAAGUCAGCAGACAGCUGGGAGCAGCCUCCACCAGAGUCAUGCAUUACUGGUAAGACUCUCACCUCCAAAUACUAUCGUGUCUAAGAAAGGGUGAUGAUGGUUAAAAGAAGGUAAGGUGGGAGUGUACCUCCCAAAAAUUUUAAUGAACAGACAUGUCAUUAAAUGAAGAGAAAGAUGGUGAAGAUCCAAGUAAACUAUCAAUGGCUCAAAAUGUUCAGGAUGAGUUAGUUCGUGUAAUUCAUAUGUCCUUAAAUAAUAUAGCUUCACAAGUAGAUAAUCUAAAUAAGCAUGCUGAAGGCAUACUUGGGGCAUUAUCCAAAGAGGUCUCUUGUAGGUAUGAUACUUUACAUGAUCAUGUAACCCAGUUAAACAAUAACAUCACUAUAAAGGACACAGAAAAAGAAUUUCCUUUGCAAGCUAAAAAGUCAAAAUCUUCUCGAAGUGCAUGUACUCAAACAGAUCUAGAGUAUCCUUUCAUUCCAUUACCUGCUAAAAUACGUGAAACCCGUGAUGCUAGUGUGCAGACAUCACCUUUGUGUAUGUCUGUUCCUUACUUUCAAGAUAAUCCACAAGUUGCACCAGUUCUUAGUUUCCAAGAAGACACAGAAAACGUACAGACUCCUUACUACAAAGAUGAUAGUGAUGAUUUAGCAAUUCCACCUUGCCAAGAAAAUGAACAAGAUGUAGAGAUUCCUUGCUGUGUAGCUAGUGAUCAGGGUUUAGCAGCUUCUCAUGAUAUUUCAUACUACUUUAAAACUUGUGAAGAAAAGCUUGUUGCUGGAGUUAAUGAACAAGUGCAGGAAAGAUUUAGGAAAAAGAACCAGCGUGUAGAUCAUCCCUGUGAACCAAAAUGUAUACAUAAAUUUACUCUGAUGGAAAAUGACAUUACUGUGGGCCAUAUCCCACCCACUUACCUAAAGAUACCUCAUUCACAUGAGAAUCCAUCAACAACAGAAUGUUCUGCAUUUUCUGCCUAUCCAAUUAAAGAAAUAAGUAAGGCCUUAACACAAGCUGUAGAAAAAGUAUUUUCCAGCCCUCCAAGUCCACAGAGGAAAGAAGUCAAAUACAUGAAAAAUUCAAAGCCAUACGUCAGAUAUGGAGUUGGAAAGAGAGAAAUUAACCUGCAGUCUAAGGUCCAAAUUCGUCCUGAGCCAGAAGUGUCCAUGAGUCGAAAAUCAUCAGUUACACCACCUCCAUUACCUCAUGAUUGGUUAACUGUGUUAAAAGAUUCAAAUACAGAGUGUCCUGCCUCAAAUGUUCAUUCCCAAACACAGUUUCCAUCACCUGUUUUGAGAACUUCAGAAACCAAACAUCUUUACAACUACUUCCAGUCUAGUCCUGAUAUGGGUGUUAAAACUACUGAAGAAGACAAUGAGUUUCAAUUUCUAACUCUACCUUCUGAAUGUUUGGAAAUAGAGGAUGAUUCACCAGAAGAAGAUAACAUAAUUGAAAGAAUGCCACUGAUGUCUUUUUCUCCAGUACGCCCAAGAAGAACUGAAACAAAGGGUAAAGAUUCAGAUCUACUUGUUCAUACUUCCUUUGUACAGUCACCAUCAUCUUUAGACCAUCUAUCUUCAAAAACAUUAUUUCCACACUCACCAAGACUUUCAGCUUCAAAUUCACCAAGACCUUCAGCUAUAUCAUCACCAAGAUUUUCACACCAAUCACAAACAAAAUGCAUUUGUCCAACGUAUUCAAAGACAUCAAAUUCAGCAUUGCCAAGUCAUUCAACCCUAGAAACUUACCAAAGUUCAUUUCCAUUAUCUGAUUCAUUUUUACAAGCAUCAGUUCAUUCAGCAAGAUGUCAGUCUGCUUACUCACCAAAACAUUCAGUUUCUCCAAGACGUUUUGAUCCACAGUCAUCAAGAUUUUCAAUUCCUUCAUCGGGGAAGAUUUACAUUGAUCAAUCAGCAAAAAAACUGGUUCCACCAUCACCAAAAUCUUCAAGUUUGAAAUCAAAAUCUUUUACCCUGCAGUCAUUAUUUUCUUUUCCAAAGUCUACAUCACCUACCAUUCCAAACCCACAGACACUAUCUGUAUUCCAGUAUUCAGCAGAUCCAAUGAGCCCUGAUCCAAAACAACCAUCAGUUUUCAACAAAGAAAGAGGUACCUUCUUGGACUCAAUAACGAAAGGAGUUUUGCUGCGAAAAACUGAAGAGCAUUGCAUAUUGAAAGCUCAAAUAGAGAUUUCAAAAAAAUGAAGAUAAUUCAAGCCUUAUGAAUACUUCAUGAAUUCAUAGGAUGCAACACUAGUAAAUCAAACAAAACGGCCAAUUAGAUGCUCAAAGAGAACAAAAUAAAUCCAAGUUGAUGAAAAGUAAC
ensembl:lncRNA